GCCGCUGUGGCGGAAUGGCAGACGCACUUGACUCAAAAUCAAGCGGGAAACCGUGCCGGUUCAAGUCCGGCUGGCGGCA
rnacentral:tRNA from 1 species